AAGGAUUUAAGUUAACUAAACUAAUAGCCUUCAAAGUUGGAAAUAGGACCCCCUAACCCUUG
rnacentral:tRNA from 1 species